rnacentral:rRNA from 1 species
GACGAACGCUGGCGGCGUGCUUAACACAUGCAAGUCGAACGGAAAGGCCCUGCUUUUGUGGGGUGCUCGAGUGGCGAACGGGUGAGUAACCCGUGAGUAACCUGCCCUUGACUUUGGGGUAACUUCAGGAAACUGGGGCUAAUACCGGAUAGGAGCUCCUGCUGCAUGGUGGGGGUUGGAACGUUUCGGCGGUUGGGGAUGGACUCGCGGCUGAUCAGCUUGUUGGUGGAGUAGUGGAUUACCAAGGCUUUGACGGGUAGCCGGCCUGAGAGGGUGACCGGCCACAUUGGGACUGAGAGACGGCCCAGACUCCUACGGUAGGCAGCAGUGGGGAAUAUGGUACAAUGGGCGGAAGCCUGAUGCAGCAACGCCGCGUGCGUGAUGACGGCCUUUGGGGUGUGAACCGCUUUCGCCUGUGACGAAGCGGGAGUGACGGUAAUGGGUAAAGAAGCACCGGCUAACUACGUG